GCCUCUUUUCUAAGAUUGUAGGGAAUUGAGUUUUAUAAGAUUUGGUGUAACUAUUUGACUUACCUGGAUAUAAGCUGAUCUGCUUUGGGCCCCAUAUAAUUGCAUGUGACACCAAAUGGGAAAAGAGGAUGAAUAUUCUCCUUCCCCUCCCUUGGCGUGAAACUCAGCAGAAUUUUGACACUGUGACAGAAUUUUGGCACUGUGACAGAAUUUUGACAUUGUGACAGAAUUUUGACAUUGUGAUGACGGAGUCCAGGCAGGUCACAGGUGCUGCACUUGAAUGGGGGAUAAUUGAUAAGUGUGAAUGAGAGGAGUAGCAGGAAGAGGAUGAUUUGCCAUUUUGCAAAAAGAGGAGUCACAGAGGGAUCCUAGUGAAGAGGAUUAUAACUUUGCCUGUUUUGUGAUGCGGAGGUGAUGUCAUGUUGUUCUACCAUUUUAUCAUUGUUCCUUCUGAGCCUGAGUGUUCUUUCUCUUGAAGAUUCAAGUGAACCAGGGAAGGAGAAUGACAUCAGACUGGGCUUGUGCCUGAUAAUUCAUUUCUGAAGGUGCAAUAUUAAGUGUCACAGUGUCCAGCUGGUGAUAUUUUCAGCAUAGAAACCUGUUAGACACGGCAGCAUUAAGGAGAUGGAAUGAAUUGAUUUAUUUCUCUUCUGAAUUGCUUGGCAGUGCUUCAAGAUUGACGCAUCAGAUUUGCACAAUGUGCCACUUUAGGAGAUUAUUUCUUCCUUCCUUCAGCCAGACAGAAGACUGCAGUAGGGAUAUGGUUCCUGUUUGCCUAUUUCCAUCCACAACUCUGCCAGAGACGAAAGCAGUGUUUGAAACAAUUCACCAAGAUUUCCAUCUGGAAUCAUCAAGAAUGGAAUUGAUCAAAUUCCUUAAGAAAUUUACUUAAAGUCAUGAUUUUGACAGCCUAGUGCUACCUGGAAAAGGGACAGCAGCAGCCUGGAGCAGUUUUCUAGCUAACAAGAAUUUUGUUAGCUAUGUGGCCACCUAGUGGCUCUUCCAUGGAUGUCGCUGAUGCAUUGUCAGGGCAAUAACAGAGAAAUAGAGGCCACCAUCUGUGUGAAUACUUCACUGUGAUUAUCUCUCACCAUCAUCAAAUAGUUCAGAGCACUGAUCCUCACGAGUUGGACAUUUCCCCAUGAAACAGUAGCCUUCUGAGUUCUUGCAAGGAAAUCCAUUGACCCUGAACUGGUCCUUAGGACAGGCAGGCGAGUGGCCAGUGCACAUCUCAGGAAAAUCACAUUCAUCUUUCGCCGGUCUGCAUAUGGACCCUGCUUUUUUUAUCUGUUGAGGAAAAACAAAGAGACUAAAUCCUGGAUACAUUUAGCUCUCCCUUGGGAUUUCAACUAUCCUCCUAGAUGAGGUUAAACAGAUUGGUGAUUAUUUACAAAGGAGCAAGAAUAGAGCUGGUCAUGUGACUUCCCUCCUAAACCUCCAAUUGCUACUUGAUGUUUCUCCACUACCCCAGGCCAUAGCACAGCCCAAUGCUCAGAUGUUGGAGCAUCUCACAAGAAUCUCUGUUGGGUACUUGCAAGCCUAGCUUCAUUUUGGAGUCAGUGGUGCAGGGCUGUCCAGUGGUUAGAUAACUCUUGGAUCCUACAUAUUCUUAAACUGAAAAAAAAAAACCUUCUCCUGGCACAUGACCUUACCU
rnacentral:lncRNA from 1 species